UCACAAUGCUUAGACCCCUGAUGCAAUGCUCUGAUUGCCAAAGCUAAUUGUAUUGUAUAACUGGUAAGAAUAUAGGAAGAGGUGCACACCUUUAAAGUGGGUAGAGUUACCCUAAAGGCCCCAAAACCAAGAAGUAUUCAAGCAAUCUUUCUUAAGAUUAUUGUGAGCUUUGCUGUCCCCUGUUAAUGAGCUGGUCUCUUAACAUGCACCUUAAUCUGGACCUUUACCUUCCUCAAGUUUGUUUGUGUGUGUGUGUGUGUGUGUGUGUGUGUGUGUGUCAGUGAUGCGCAGAUCAACUCACAAGGGACCCAAACUUGCUCAAUGCUUUAAUUCGACCUGACCACAACUUGAACCGCUAAUAUUUAACAAGGCAAAAUUAUGCCUGAACCCCUACCCAAUCCGUGCAGACUUAUUUACAUUAAUUCAUACAUUUUUGCCUAGGUCAAACUUCUACACUUAAACCAGAACAGAAUGCCCUCUGUCACAUUAUAGCUAUGCCUACCUAGAUCAUUCAUGACAUCCUUUGGUCAAACAAAUGCGGCACAAACACUAAACAUUAUCUUGAAUUUGAUAAGGAUAUUAGGCUAUAAGGCAGUUUAGCCUCCAGAUAUCCUGUGGGAAGAUGAUGAAAUAGUUAAACGUUGCACAACAAUGCCUGUGACAAUGCUAGCAAUAUUUUACUGAGCUACUUAUCAUUACAUCCAAUGUCAACUUUGUUGAUAAUUAUCCCUGGCCUACAACUUCCUAAAUUCUCAAGGCUUCUCCAAAUACUUCACACACUUUACAUUUCUUUGUUGUGAGUACCCCCUCGAAAACGAGAUGCUGCAUCUCAAGGGGUUAUCCUCCAAAAAAUACAUUUCAAAUUUCUUUGUACACUCCUGCUUGUCUCGCAGCGUCUCCGUCUCGCUCAUGCAGCUGUCAGUGGUAGCCUAAUAAGCCUGCACAGCAUCUUCUUGCGAUUGGAUUCAUUCAGCCAAUUAUGCUUUUGUAAAUUAUUAUUGCUUGAAUAUUGAUUUCAGUCUUCAGGCGAUAUUUGACUCAUCUGCCAAAAUUUCAUUUUAACUGACCGACCUGCAAAUAACUCAAAUAUCAUCACCUCUGCCAAAGAGGUUAUGUUUUCAUCACAUUUUGUAGGUUUGUCUGUGGGUUUGUUUAUCUGUUUGCUGUCAGUAGGAUUACGUAAAAACUACCAGGCUGAUUGUCAUGAAACUUGGUGGAGGGGUGUUGCAUGGACCAAGGCGCGAUAGGGCAUUUGGCCUUGGCAGAGGUCUGCUCUCGUCUAGCGCCCUCCUAGUUAGAAAUAUUUUUUUUUUGACUUGUAACUUUAAGUGUCCACUGGCAUCCGCUCAUUUUGGAUCAUGCUCAUCACUGAUGUGUGUCUGUGUGUCUGUGUGUGUGUCUGUGUGUGUGUGUGUCUGUGUGUGGGUGUGUGUGUGUGGGUGUGAGUUUGUGUGUGUGUGUGUGUGUGUGUGUGUGCUUGCAUGCAUGCACACUCUAGUCUGGUCCGUCAAAGUACUGUUGGCAUGUUUAUGUGUGCGGCUGCGUUUGGUCCUGCUCGUAUGAACUGUGCAUUAUGCUACUCAACCCAUCUUCAUCUUGUCUAAGUAUAGCAUCUUUUUUUGAAAUGUGAGCCUUCAGGCUAGUCUUCAUUGCUCUUGAAAACAGCCACCAGUGGGAGGCUAGGUUUCGGCAUCUACAGAAAGAGAGAGGGAGAGAGAGAGAGAGAUAGGGAGAGAGAGAGAGAGAGAGAGAGAGAGAGAGAGCAGGAGAUGUCAUCUAUAUGGGCAUUAAAACCUUACUCCCUCAGUGGGCUGGAUAUUUAAGGCUGGCCACAAUCGCAGUGAGCAACUCGUGCAGGCGUCUGAUGUGCAAUACAGUCUUGGGGCAGUCUGUCUCUGAGCAGAGCUUCCUGUGCAAUCAAACGCCCCAAGCUGGGCUAAUGAAUGUUUCUAAUCAAGUGCUGCUAAGUUACAUAUUGCAAGUUAAGGAAAAACAAGGAUGCAAGAGCCAAAAUGUGUUCUUUGUCUAUUUUAGCAAUCAAAUUAAACUCAUAUGAGAGAGAGAGAGAAAAAAAUAACCUUUUUCAGCAUAUUAACCACACAAUGGUGCACUUUCUGAUGACAAUCUUUUGUCCCAUCAAUGAAUAGACCACAUUAGAAAUUAUUUUCUUAUUGAGCCAAAUGUAAAUAAUGAGGAUAGACUUUCCUUCUGCCUGUUACAUAGUUUUAUAGUUAAAGUGUCAGAUUCCCUGACCUGUCCUUGAACAGGAUGAAAGGACACCAGUCACUUGUAGUCUAGUAUAUUUAUAUAAGAGUACAUUGACAAUGCAGUAUUUUUUAUCCAUUGAGAACCUGUGUAGCUUCAGAUCUGGGUCUUUCUCUGUUGAUGGUCUUGUGAAGAGAAAACACUCUGAAUGGGCCUGUGACUUCUACAGCCGCUCUGUCUUCUUCCAUGUGUCUCCAAGACAGUAGGCUUCAAAGCCAAAAGCAAUAGAACACCAAGGCAGUGUGUGUGUAUCUGUGUGUGUGUGUGUGUGUGUGUGUGUGUGUGUGUGUGUGUGUGUGUGUGUGUGUGUGUGUGUGUGUGUGUGUGUAUAUCUGUGUGUGUGUGUGUAUAUAUCUGUGUGUGUGUGUGUGUGUGUGUGUGUGUGUGUGUGUGUGUGUGUGUGUGUGUGUGUGUGUAAAAGAGAGAGAGAGAGAGCAGGGUUGUAGGUGAUAUUUUGUAUUGCUUGGGGGAUGACUGAGGAUGCCAGAUGUUUCUGUCAUUAAUGGUAAAUAAACAAAUACAUAAAAAGCCCAAGCAACCUCUGGCUCAUCCUCUGAAAAUGUCCACUCACUGUUUUGGUUCAAUUUCUUCUUUAAAAAAAUCAGUCUUCCUUUUGUUCUGCACAAGCCAGUGGUUGUACAGUUUUUAUAUUGUGCUACAUAACAAGAAUAGUUAAUAUAUUGCUGUUGAUGUUAAAUACAUAAUGUAUUAUUUUGUUUUGUUUUCCAAUAAAACCAAAAUGAAUAAAAAUUCAUGGAAUCCCAUUAUCUGCCCAUGAUUCUGACAAAAAAGCCUUAU
ensembl:lncRNA